rnacentral:rRNA from 1 species
AACGAACGCUGGCGGCAUGCCUAACACAUGCAAGUCGAACGAGACCUUCGGGUCUAGUGGCGCACGGGUGCGUAACGCGUGGGAACCUGCCCUUAGGUUCGGAAUAACUCCCCGAAAGGGGUGCUAAUACCGGAUAAUGUCUACGGACCAAAGAUUUAUCGCCUUUGGUGGGGCCCGCGUUGGAUUAGCUAGUUGGUAGGGUAAAAGCCUACCAAGGCGACGAUCCAUAGCUGGUUUGAGAGGAUGAUCAGCCACACUGAGACUGAGACACGGCCCAGACUCCUACGGGAUGGAGGAGUGGGGAAUAGUGGAAAGUGGGCGGAAGCAUGAUCGACCACUGCCGGGUGAGUGAUGAAGGCCUUAGGGUUGUAAAGCUCUUUUACCCGUGAUGAUAAUGACGGUACCGGGAGAAUAAGCUCCGGCUAACUCCGUG